UUAAGCGACUAAGCGUACACGGUGGAUGCCCUGGCAGUCAGAGGCGAUGAAGGACGUGCUAAUCUGCGAAAAGCGUCGGUAAGGUGAUAUGAACCGUUAUAACCGGCGAUGUCCGAAUGGGGAAACCCAGUGCAAUUCGUUGCACUAUCGUUAACUGAAUACAUAGGUUAACGAGGCGAACCGGGGGAACUGAAACAUCUAAGUACCCCGAGGAAAAGAAAUCAACCGAGAUUCCCCCAGUAGCGGCGAGCGAACGGGGAGCAGCCCAGAGUCUGAAUCAGCUUGUGUGUUAGUGGAACGGUCUGGAAAGUCCGACGGUACAGGGUGAUAGUCCCGUACACCAAAAUGCACAGGCUGUGAACUCGAAGAGUAGGGCGGGACACGUGGUAUCCUGUCUGAAUAUGGGGGGACCAUCCUCCAAGGCUAAAUACUCCUGACUGACCGAUAGUGAACCAGUACCGUGAGGGAAAGGCGAAAAGAACCCCGGCGAGGGGAGUGAAAAAGAACCUGAAACCGUGUACGUACAAGCAGUGGGAGCACCUUCGGGUGUGACUGCGUACCUUUUGUAUAAUGGGUCAGCGACUUAUAUUCUGUAGCAAGGUUAACCGUAUAGGGGAGCCGCAGGGAAACCGAGUCUUAACUGGGCGUUAAGUUGCAGGGUAUAGACCCGAAACCCGGUGAUCUAGCCAUGGGCAGGUUGAAGGUUGGGUAACACUAACUGGAGGACCGAACCGACUAAUGUUGAAAAAUUAGCGGAUGACUUGUGGCUGGGGGUGAAAGGCCAAUCAAACCGGGAGAUAGCUGGUUCUCCCGAAAGCUAUUUAGGUAGCGCCUCGUGAAUUCAUCUUCGGGGUAGAGCACUGUUUCGGCUAGGGGGUCAUCCCGACUUACCAACCCGAUGCAAACUACGAAUACCGAAGAAUGUUAUCACGGGGAGACACACGGCGGGUGCUAACGUCCGUCGUGAAGAGGGAAACAACCCAGACCGCCAGCUAAGGUCCCAAAGUCAUGGUUAAGUGGGAAACGAUGUGGGAAGGCACAGACAGCCAGGAUGUUGGCUUAGAAGCAGCCAUCAUUUAAAGAAAGCGUAAUAGCUCACUGGUCGAGUCGGCCUGCGCGGAAGAUGUAACGGGGCUAAACCAUGCACCGAAGCUGCGGCAGCGACACUAUGUGUUGUUGGGUAGGGGAGCGUUCUGUAAGCCUGCGAAGGUGACCUGUGAGGGUUGCUGGAGGUAUCAGAAGUGCGAAUGCUGACAUAAGUAACGAUAAAGCGGGUGAAAAGCCCGCUCGCCGGAAGACCAAGGGUUCCUGUCCAACGUUAAUCGGGGCAGGGUGAGUCGACCCCUAAGGCGAGGCCGAAAGGCGUAGUCGAUGGGAAACAGGUUAAUAUUCCUGUACUUGGUGUUACUGCGAAGGGGGGACGGAGAAGGCUAUGUUAGCCGGGCGACGGUUGUCCCGGUUUAAGCAUGUAGGCUGGUUAUCCAGGCAAAUCCGGAUAAUCAAGGCUGAGGUGUGAUGACGAGGCACUACGGUGCUGAAGUAACAAAUGCCCUGCUUCCAGGAAAAGCCUCUAAGCAUCAGGUAACAUUAAAUCGUACCCCAAACCGACACAGGUGGUCAGGUAGAGAAUACCAAGGCGCUUGAGAGAACUCGGGUGAAGGAACUAGGCAAAAUGGUGCCGUAACUUCGGGAGAAGGCACGCUGGUGUGUAGGUGAAGUCCCUGCGGAUGGAGCUGAGACCAGUCGAAGAUACCAGCUGGCUGCAACUGUUUAUUAAAAACACAGCACUGUGCAAACACGAAAGUGGACGUAUACGGUGUGACGCCUGCCCGGUGCCGGAAGGUUAAUUGAUGGGGUUAUCCGUAAGGAGAAGCUCUUGAUCGAAGCCCCGGUAAACGGCGGCCGUAACUAUAACGGUCCUAAGGUAGCGAAAUUCCUUGUCGGGUAAGUUCCGACCUGCACGAAUGGCGUAAUGAUGGCCAGGCUGUCUCCACCCGAGACUCAGUGAAAUUGAACUCGCUGUGAAGAUGCAGUGUACCCGCGGCAAGACGGAAAGACCCCGUGAACCUUUACUAUAGCUUGACACUGAACAUUGAGCCUUGAUGUGUAGGAUAGGUGGGAGGCUUUGAAGCGUGGACGCCAGUCUGCGUGGAGCCAACCUUGAAAUACCACCCUUUAAUGUUUGAUGUUCUAACGUUGGCCCCUUAUCGGGGUUGCGGACAGUGUCUGGUGGGUAGUUUGACUGGGGCGGUCUCCUCCCAAAGCGUAACGGAGGAGCACGAAGGUUAGCUAAUCCUGGUCGGACAUCAGGAGGUUAGUGCAAUGGCAUAAGCUAGCUUGACUGCGAGCGUGACGGCGCGAGCAGGUGCGAAAGCAGGUCAUAGUGAUCCGGUGGUUCUGAAUGGAAGGGCCAUCGCUCAACGGAUAAAAGGUACUCCGGGGAUAACAGGCUGAUACCGCCCAAGAGUUCAUAUCGACGGCGGUGUUUGGCACCUCGAUGUCGGCUCAUCACAUCCUGGGGCUGAAGUAGGUCCCAAGGGUAUGGCUGUUCGCCAUUUAAAGUGGUACGCGAGCUGGGUUUAGAACGUCGUGAGACAGUUCGGUCCCUAUCUGCCGUGGGCGCUGGAGAAUUGAGGGGGGCUGCUCCUAGUACGAGAGGACCGGAGUGGACGCAUCACUGGUGUUCGGGUUGUCAUGCCAAUGGCACUGCCCGGUAGCUAAAUGCGGAAGAGAUAAGUGCUGAAAGCAUCUAAGCACGAAACUUGCCCCGAGAUGAGUUCUCCCUGAGACUUUAAGUCUCCUGAAGGAACGUUGAAGACGAUGACGUUGAUAGGCCGGGUGUGUAAGCGCAGCGAUGCGUUGAGCUAACCGGUACUAAUGAACCGUGAGGCUUAACCUU
rnacentral:rRNA from 1 species